UUCCUGGUGGUCUAGUGGUUAGGACUUAGCGCUUUCACAGCUGUGGCCCUGGUUUCAACCCCCGGUCUGGGAA
rnacentral:tRNA from 1 species